AUAUCUCCCAGCUUGUUUUCUUUGUCAGGUAUAUAAACCUCCUGGGCUCCUGGACACUUGCACAUCGUCAGCAUAUACAUCCAGCAAGUCGACUCUGUGAAAUGCGUUCGCUAUUGAUCCUCCUCUGCUUCGUCGUGACCAUCGUCGCAUUUGCGGAAGCCCAGAUCGUGGGUAGUAAUCCGUGCACGUUCGGACCGGCAUUCUGGUGCGCCAGCCUUCAAAACGCCCAGCGAUGCGGUGACGGGGCUGUCGCCCAUUGUAACAGCGCCGGAUGGCAAACGGACUAACGAGAUGUCUUACGAAGCCAACGUAUGGUUAUAGAUUCACUAUUCCACCUAUAAUGAAUCAAUCCAAGAUAGCUACGACUACGUAGGCCUACAUCAACUAUCACUUAACCUACUAUUUCAUCAUUCAUGCUUUGCGGGAAGGCACGGUGGGGGCUAAAUUGCCAUAAUAAGAAAUAAAUGAAUCGGAUUAUUUUUUUCGUUCAAUGCUUGAGAGAUU